AAGUGGCGGAACCGGGCUGAGGAGGAAUCGACCUUCUGACUCCCAGGCUCGUGCUCUACCCGCUACGCUACGCUGCUUCAAGCGUUGCUUAGAAGACAAGCUCUCUAUCCUCCGGGAGCUUCCAGGCUUUUUUGUGCAGGGCACUGUACUAAGCGUUAGGAAGAGGAAAGGGAAGAGGCUGGAAGGAAGGAGGAAGAAACGCUGGAAUUUCUUCAGAGGGAAAACCCAGUGGAGCAGGAAGAGACGUACUGACGACAGAGCCUCCUUAAGAAACUUACCACGGUCAAGAUCCAAGGUGCAUUCGGGGCUUCUCACGAUGAUGCUGGCGAUGGUGGCGUCUCCCAUCGGACAGAGCGGACGAAGACUCGGCCCCCAGAAUGAAGGCCAUCUCCUGACGUCGGAGGUCUGCUCACCUCAACCGAAGUCGGUCCCAAGCGAUGAAGUCCUAGAGUGAAGUCGGAGACCGAUCAGAUCAAUCAGAUCAUCAGAUCAAUCACAUCAUCAGAUCAAUCCUCACUUCAGCACAGGAUUCGGUGGAGUAAGACAGAGAUCUUCUAAAAACCUAUCCAGCCCAAAUCCUUGAUGUGACUCUCUGCUUUCCAGUCUUCUGGUGGGAGAUGAAAGCCUUCCGUGGGCAGGACCCGAGACCCCCUCGCAGUAGAAGGAAAUGUUCUCGAGAGGGAAAUGAGCAUGUUCAAGCUGCUGCAAACACCUCCGUCCAACAAAAUGCAAAAAAAAAAAAGCCGCCUGAUGGGUCUCCACGACGGGAUAUGGAAACUGGGAAAAUCAUCUGCGUUCGUUGCUGUUUAGAGGAUGGCUUUGAUAGACACUCCCCUAGACAAAGAGAGCACUAAGAACAGAGAAUUGCACCCGAGUUGGAGAUGUGAUUAUUACUGCGUUUGAUGUGAUUACUCUGUCUACAUCCCAGCACUUAGGACCAAAAGAGCAAAAGGAAGGUCCGCUGGAAAAGAUCCGAUGACUCCAUCCUGAUGUUUCAAUGACUUUGGCAUUCGCACUCCCGAGAACCCUCCCUAUCACCUGGCCUGCUGUGUGACCCCUGGCCAGCUGCCUCUGGCCUGGAACGCCUUGCCGCCCCCACCUUCAGACCCGACAGUCCAUUCACGAGAAGCAGCGUGGCCUACUGGCUGGACCCCAGGCCUGGGAGUCAGACGUCUUGGAUUCUGUUCCCCGCUC